rnacentral:rRNA from 1 species
AUUGAACGCUAGCGGGAUGCUUUACACAUGCAAGUCGAACGGCAGCGCGGACUUCGGUCUGGCGGCGAGUGGCGAACGGGUGAGUAGUGUAUCGGAACGUGCCCAGUAGCGGGGGAUAACUACGCGAAAGCGUAGCUAAUACCGCAUACGCCCUACGGGGGAAAGCAGGGGAUCGUAAGACCUUGCACUAUUGGAGCGGCCGAUAUCGGAUUAGCUAGUUGGUGAGGUAACGGCUCACCAAGGCGACGAUCCGUAGCUGGUUUGAGAGGACGACCAGCCACACUGGUACUGAGACACGGCCCAGACUCCUACGGGAGGCAGCAGUGGGGAAUUUUGGACAAUGGGGGCAACCCUGAUCCAGCCAUCCCGCGUGUGCGAUGAAGGCCUUCGGGUUGUAAAGCACUUUUGGCAGGAAAGAAACGUCGCGGGCUAAUACCCCGUGGAACUGACGGUACCUGCAGAAUAAGCACCGGCUAACUACGUG